UACAUGAGCACUGAAAUCAGAAAUUAAAUUAAGGCUUAAUUUUUAGUCUUCAAAAUAUGCUCUUCAAAAUAAAUAUAUCCUAUUUGAAAAUUGCUGAACAUUUUCAGUUUUGUAAGUUUCAACCACUGCCAAAAUUUCCGAUUUC
ensembl:ncRNA Y58A7A.9 ncRNA